rnacentral:tRNA from 1 species
AUCAAGUCUUAUAUUCAAUUAUGAUUUUAAAUUGCAAAUUUAAAGGUAAAUUUAUUUUUAAGGCUU